CUGUAUUUAGCAUCAUAUUUCAUGUCUUAUUAUUAAUAUAUAUCAAUUUAUCAGUUUUCCUUCAGUCUAUAUCAUGUAAAUAAAUUAGCAUAUUGUUGAGCUAAUGCAGUUUAUGCUAAUAAUUGGUUUUGUGUUGACAUUUUUGUACAAAAGAAAUCUCAUACUGUGUAAAAGAAUUUCUAAAAGAAACAAUUUAGGCCUAUUUGAUCUAAUAAUUAUUAUAAUUUUUAUGGUAAUACUAAAGAAAUCCAGACAAACACAUCAACCUCACCCCCACUCAACUCCUCGCAACAACAAAACACCAGUCUCUCUGCAGAAAUCCAGACAAGCGCAUCAACCUCACCCCCACUCAACUCCACGCAACAACAAAACACCAGUCCUUCUACAGGAAUCCAGACAAACACAUCAACCUCACCCCCACUCAACUCCUCGCAACAACAAAACACCAGUCCUUCUACAGAAAUCCAGACAAGCACAUUAACCUCACCCCCACUCAACUCCUCGCAACAACAAAACACCAGUCCUUCUACAGGUAACACUGUAUUUAACAUCAUAUUUCAUCUCUUAUUAUUAAUAUAUAUCAAUUUAUCAGUUUUCCUUCAGUCUAUAUCAUUUAAAUAAAUUAGCAUAUUGUUGAGCUAAUGCAGUUUAUGCUAAUAAUUGGUUUUGUGUUGACAUUUUUGUACAAAAGAAAUCUCAUACUGUGUAAAAGAAUUUCUAAAAGAAACAUUUUAGGCCUAUUUGAUCUAAUAAUCAUUAUUAUUUAUGUGGUAAUACUAAAGAAAUCCAGACAAGCACAUCAACCUCACCCCCACUCAACUCCUCGCAACAACAAAACACCAGUCUCUCUGCAGGUAACACUGUAUUUAGCAUCAUAUUUCAUGUCUUAUUAUUAAUAUAUAUCAAUUUAUCUGUUUUCCUUCAGUCUAUAUCAUGUAAAUAAAUUAGCAUAUUGUUGAGCUAAUGCAGUUUAUUGUAAUAAUAAUCAGUUUUGCAUUGACAUUUUUGUACCAAAAAACCUUCUUACAUGUCAUACUAUACAAAACUAUUCAUAAGAGAAACAAUUUAUUUGAUCUAAUAAU